rnacentral:rRNA from 1 species
UUAGAUACCCUGGUAGUACACGCCGUAAACGAUGGAUACUAGCUGUGUGGUUGUCGGACUGCGCGGCCAAGCGAAAGUGAUAAGUAUCCCACCUGGGGAGUACGUUAGCAAGAAUAAAACUCAAAGGAAUUCACGGGCGCCCGCGCAAGCGGUGGAGCAUGUGGUUUAAUUAGGUGCUACGCGAGGAACCUUCACCCGGAUGAAAUUUAGAUUGACAGGUGGUGCGAUAGACUUUUCUUAGACCAAUUUACAAGGUGUGUCAUGGUUGUCGUCAGCUCGUGCCGGGAGUAGUCAGGUUAAGUCGUGCAACGAGCGCAACCCUUGUUGUUAGAGUAAUGUACAUAAUUGUGGGGACUCUAGCAAGACCAACGGUGCAAAAGGUGGGGAAGGUGGGGAUGACGUCAAAUCAUCACGGCCCUUACGUCAUGGGCCACACACGUGCAACAACAGUAGGUUGCAAUAGCAGGAAGUGGAGGAUAUGGAGUGAAUCUUUCAAACGUAUCACAGGGAGUAUCGAAGUCUGCAACAUGAAGUCGGAAAGCUGGAAAAUCUAGUAUCAGAAUAUCAGCCAUGAUCCGUUGAAUACGUUUCCGGACCUCGUACACUCACACCGUCGGACCGUGGAAGCCGGGAAGACGUGAGCGUUAACC